rfam:Ovis aries breed Texel chromosome 12, whole genome shotgun sequence.
UCCCUGGUGGCUCAGAUGGUAAAGCAUCUGUCUACAACGCAGGAGACCCAGGUUCGAUCCCUGGGUUGGGAA